ensembl:lncRNA
CUAUUUGGUACCGGCUUAGUGAAGAUCAUAGAGUUGAUAGGUCCUGGCUUCACACCCUAACAGAAGACACAUUUACUAUGGAUGGUGUUGCUGUUCAUAUGUAAACAUGGUCUAAUUCAAAAACUUUAACCUUAUUUAAAUUACCACUGUCCGUGGCUUGUGCCAUUGCUGUUCAGAUUCGGUGCAGCUAUGCACAGGGGACAACCGGCACUCUGAGUUGUGAGUAGUGUGCUGUUUGGAAGAGCAGUGCCACUGUGUGAUUGCACAUAACAGCACCUGCCACACAGGAGCACUGGCGAUGAAUCCAGAAGCUUAAUCUAAGAAGAAAGAACUAAAAUUAAAAAUGUAACAUCAUCUUCAUGGAAGAGCCAAACAGGAACAUAGUUCAGUGUUAUGGUUACUGACCCCUACAGGCUUACCCUCCUGAAUGCUUAGGGUUUCCUUCUCUCCCUAUUAAAACAAUUUAACCAUCCUUGAUAACUGUAAUAACUUAGAUUGUGUAUAUUUGCAGUAUUAACUUGGUGUAAAUUUGUUUCUGAUCACCCAAACACAUCUGACUAGUCAAAUUAGGUGUGAUAAAGCAGGGGGACAAGGAAAACAUUCAAGUUGAUGGGCCUUCAGGAAUGAACUUAACUAAUGCUUAAAUGAACUGAACCCCACUGAACAGGGAUUAACAACUUUACACAGCUUCCUGCCUACACUUAGUCUGUGUGGUGCCUCACUCUUCCUCGUUGACCUGUAGCACAGGGCUCUCACACCGACCUCCCCUGUCAACCUGUGUUUUUUGGACACUGAAUAAAGAUACAAGAACCAUUAGCAUUAUUUCUGUACUACUCAUGUCAACACGUCUUAAACGUAUAUACUUUACACGUAGCAAGAGUAGCAUUGGGUAGUUAACUACCUGCUUAGUUAGCCAACUACCUAACGCUAUUAUAAAAGUGUCUAACAACAAAAGUGACAUUAGUUAAACCUCAACUAUAAACACCGUUUAAGGAAACAUGUAAUGUAGAGAAUUGACAUCAAAUGAAACACAUAGCGGAGUAACGUAGUGUUUGCAUUUCACGUUAGCUAACGUUUCUUUGUCGGUUAAUUUACGUUUUCUUACCUUCGUAGUUGUGUAUAUAUGAUGCAGCAUAUAACUUAAAUCCUUUAUCUAACAUGCUGACGGGGUUUGUCGUCA